rnacentral:rRNA from 1 species
UAGAGUUUGAUCAUGGCUCANGACGAACGCUGGCGGCGUGCCUAAUACAUGCAAGUCGAACGCUUCUUUUUCCACCGGAGCUUGCUCCACCGGAAAAAGAGGAGUGGCGAACGGGUGAGUAACACGUGGGUAACCUGCCCAUCAGAAGGGGAUAACACUUGGAAACAGGUGCUAAUACCGUAUAACAAUCGAAACCGCNUGGNUUUGAUUUGAAAGCGCUUUCGGGUGUCGCUGAUGGAUGNACCCGCGGUGCAUUAGCUAGUUGGUGAGGUAACGNCUCACCAAGGCGACGAUGCAUAGNCGAACUUGAGAAGGUUAACGGCCACAUUUGGGAUUGAGACACGGGCCCAAAACUCCUACCGGGAGGCAGCA